rnacentral:lncRNA from 1 species
ACAGGCCUCACCCGUCUCCCAUGCAGCCCAAAAGUCCAGUCUCACUCCCACCAUGUCCCCGCAAACAGCACUGAAUUUAUUUCCAGGCAACCAGUGAGCAAGGCUGAGAACUUGUCCCAGGUUACGAGACUCCCAGGUACAGUCAUGUGCCGCAUAAUGACAUUCAGUCAAUGACAGACUGCAUAUAUGAGGUGGUCCUGUAAGGUGAUAAUGGAGCUGAAAAAUUCCUACUACUGAACGACAUCAUAGCCAUUGUAACAUCAUAGCACAACCAAUCACCUUUUCUAUAUUUAGGUACAACACUGAAGGCACCGCCCAUGAAAGAAACAACUGAUAGGCUGAACUCCAUUAAAAUUAAAAGCUUUUGCUCUGCAAAUACAAGAGAAUGAGAACACAAACCAUGGCUACAGAAGUUCUGGAAAUAUACCAGACGUGGCAAUGCUGCAGAGGAAGGAGGGAGAAUAUGCCUUUCUGCAGAUCUUUCUUGGAGGAGAGGCAAGUUUCUCCAAAAUUACUCAGAUGAUUUCCCCUCAUGUGUCUCUGGCUGGAAUUAGGUCAC